rnacentral:rRNA from 1 species
UGGGGAAUAUUGCACAAUGGGCGCAAGCCUGAUGCAGCCAUGCCGCGUGUAUGAAGAAGGCCUUCGGGUUGUAAAGUACUUUCAGCGGGGAGGAAGGGAGUAAAGUUAAUACCUUUGCUCAUUGACGUUACCCGCAGAAGAAGCACCGGCUAACUCCGUGCCAGCAGCCGCGGUAAUACGGAGGGUGCAAGCGUUAAUCGGAAUUACUGGGCGUAAAGCGCACGCAGGCGGUUUGUUAAGUCAGAUGUGAAAUCCCCGGGCUCAACCUGGGAACUGCAUCUGAUACUGGCAAGCUUGAGUCUCGUAGAGGGGGGUAGAAUUCCAGGUGUAGCGGUGAAAUGCGUAGAGAUCCGGAGGAAUACCGGUGGCGAAGGCGGCCCCCUGGACGAAGACUGACGCUCAGGUGCGAAAGCGUGGGGAGCAAACA